CGGGAAGUAGUUCAGUUUGGUAGAGCGCUCGCUUUGGGAGCGAGAGGUCGCAGGUUCAAAUCCUGUCUUCCCGAC
rnacentral:tRNA from 1 species